UCCGCGAUAGCUCAGUUGGUAGAGCAGUCGACUGUUAAUCGACCGGUCGUAGGUUCGAGCCCUACUCGCGGAGCCA
rnacentral:tRNA from 1 species